rfam:Desulfacinum infernum DSM 9756 genome assembly, contig: EJ47DRAFT_scaffold00025.25
GCCGGUGGCUAUGGCGAGGAGGCCACACCCGUUCCCAUCCCGAACACGGAAGUUAAGCUCCUCAGCGCCGAUGGUACUGCGUGGGUAACCGCGUGGGAGAGUAGGUCGCCGCCGACC